AUUAACUGUGUCAUCCUUUCGGGAUGUGAAAACCCGGCGCAGUUCUGUGCGGAAGGACAAGGAACGGGAGACCAAACAUAUCUUUGCUCGAUAAGCCCAAGUUCUGAUGAAGUGUCCCACAGACCUGUGACUACCACCACAGUCAGCAGGUUCAGCCAGCACCUGUGCAGACCCUGGGCCUCCACACUGUCAAGAAAUUGCAUUUUCCUGUGAAAUGCUGCACAAUCCGAACAGCGCUAUAGGUGAGAGUCCCCAAAGGGAAUCAUGAGUAUGAAGGAAAAUGACCCUGUGGACAUAUCCAACACAUU